rnacentral:rRNA from 1 species
GUCGAGAAUCUUUCACAAUGGGGGCAACCCUGAUGGAGCGACGCCGCGUGGAGGAUAAGGUCUUCGGAUUGUAAACUCCUGUCAUGCGUGAACAAGGUUGCUUGGUUAAUACCUGGGCAAAUUGAUGGUAACGCAAGAGGAAGAGACGGCUAACUCUGUGCCAGCAGCCGCGGUAAUACAGAGGUCUCAAGCGUUGUUCGGAAUCACUGGGCGUAAAGGGUGCGUAGGUGGCGUGGUAAGUCAGAUGUGAAAGCCCGGGGCUCAACCUCGGAACUGCAUCCGAGACUGCCAUGCUAGAGUACUGGAGAGGUGACUAGAAUUCUCGGUGUAGCAGUGAAAUGCGUAGAUAUCGAGAGGAAUACCAAAGGCGUAGGCAGGUCACUGGACAGUUACUGACACUGAGGCACGAAGGCCAGGGGAGCGAACGGGAUUAGAAACCCGAGUAGUCC